rnacentral:rRNA from 1 species
UUUCCGGUUGAUCCUGCCGGACCCGACUGCUAUCAGAGUGAGAUUAAGCCAUGCGAGUUAACGUAGCAAUAUCGUGGCGCCACGGCUCAGUAACACGUAUGUCAACAUGCCCAGAGGACGUGGAUAACCUCGGGAAACUGAGUCUAAACCGCGAUAAGUGAGGAUUUCUGGAAUGGUUCCUGACUAAAAUCUAUAUGGCCUCUGGAUUGGACUGCGGCCGAUCAGGCUGUUGGUGAGGUAAUGGCCCACCAAACCUGUUAACCGGUACGGGCUCUGAGAGGAGGAGCCCGGAGAUGGGCACUGAGACAAGGGCCCAGGCCCUAUGGGGCGCAGCAGGCGCGAAACCUCUGCAAUAGGCGAAAGCCUGACAGGGUUACUCUGAGUGACUUUCGCUAAGAAAGUCUUUUGGCACCUCUAAAAAGGGUGCAGAAUAAGGGGUGGGCAAGUCUGGUGUCAGCCGCCGCGGUAAUACCAGCACCCCGAGUGGUCGGGACGAUUAUUGGGCCUAAAGCAUCCGUAGCCGGUUCUGCAAGUCCCCCGUUAAAUCCAGCUGCUCAACAGAUGGGCCGCGGAGGAUACUACAGAGCUAGGAGGCAGGAGAGGCAGCGGUACUCAGUGGGUAGGGGUAAAAUCCGUUGAUCCAUUGAAGACCACCAGUGGCGAAGGCGGCUUGCCAGAAUGCGCUCGACGGUGAGGGAUGAAAGCUGGGGGAGCAAACCGGAUUAGAUACCCGGGUAGUCCCAGCCGUAAACGAUGCAGACUCGGUGAUGGGUUGGCUUCGCGCUAACCCAGUGCCGCAGGGAAGCCGUUAAGUCUGCCGCCUGGGUAGUACGGUCGCAAGACUGAAACUUAAAGGAAUYGGCGGGGGAGCACCACAAGGGGUGAAGCCUGCGGUUCAAUUGGAUUCAACGCCGGAA